GUUCCGGUUUCAUAUCACGAAAAAAUUAGGGUUGGUAGGUCGGAAAUUUUUUUUUUUUUAAUAUUUUUUUUCAAUAAUUAGUGACAACAGACACCAUUUUGGCAGCAGCCCGCAACCACCCAGAGAAAAUAGGGUCGCACGGUCAAUUACGUUGAAAAAAUAAUAGGGUCGGCAGAAAAAAAUAGGGUCGGUCGGGAACCGGAACCACAGGGUUUUUUUUUAUGCCUUAGUACACAUGGAUGGGGUUUUCAAUUUUCCGCCAAUUGCAAUAUAGCUUCUGGUUAUGUCAAAACGGGGAUGGGUCAAUUUUUAGCAAAAUGUUGUUCAAAGUUAUUUCGCUUCACAUUGCCUUUACAGGAAAAGUGGGAGCCUAAGCAUUUAUUCGCAUUUGAAGUCAUUAUGAGAAAGGUCUAUUGGAAAGAUACUCCAAUUGAUGUUAAUUAACCAAUAAAUAACAAUACACACAGUUUAUAAAUGAUGAAAGGUGUUCUCUGCACCUCAAUUGGUAAUUUAUGGCCUUAGGAGAUUAUAUUCCAACAGGAUGUGAUAAUUCAAGAUUUUUAGUUGUACCUCUCUAGAAUGGUACUCCAACAUUAUAAUUAUUUACCCUGCACUUACGGUAAUAAGCUAGGGCAGACUCAUUUAGUACAUAAAGCACAGUUUUCUAAAAGAUAAUCAUUCAGAUAGCAACUCAAAACUUGGAAUCAAAACAAACCUUAGUCCCACUUUAAACCCAUCAGUCCAAGACAUGUUGGGCAUAGUUAGUAUUGUAGUAUGGGCUUGGAAGAUUUGCUGGUGGUAACAUGGUAACAGCAAAAUGUAAUAUGCAGAAAAUUCAGGGUCGAUCGGCCCCUAUAUUAAGUACAACUACACUCCCUUGACAAAUACAUUUGUCUGGGGUUAGGAAGAUUAAAAUAGUAAAGUCGGGUGCAUUGGAGUGCAAUACAGACUUACAAGUAGCCUGUGUACAGCCGUUACUCUCAACGAAACGCACAAGAGAACGUCUGUGAGUUGGAUGCAUAAUCCUUGUUCAGGUCACAUGGAUAGUUCCCAGAUUUGGGUACCGGCCUCUGAUUGGACAGUGCUUAUUUGAAUAAUUUAUGACAAAUGAAGCUAUUUCAUUGGUUAAUUAAUUGAUAAUUAGCAUGCAUUUAAAAUAACAACACAAAAAUUUUAAAAUUCCAGAUCAAGAAUUCUUUCGGGGCAUACAAAGGUUUGAAAGACUAGAAAUAUAAUCUGUUGAGCUUAAUUUUGUGCUGUAUCAAAGUUUAAAUUUCUCGAUGAAGAGAUUUGUUUUGAGUGCGAACAAUGCUUAAUUAACGAUCAUUAUUCAUUGCCAGCAAGUCCGGUGUAUUUACAAAGACAAAGAUAAAAUUCUAGUGUUUGGACACUCAGCGAAUAAUGCUGACAAAUAUAUAAAAUACAACAAACUA